rnacentral:rRNA from 1 species
UGAGGAAUAUUGGACAAUGGGCGCAAGCCUGAUCCAGCCAUGCCGCGUGGGUGAAGAAGGCCUUCGGGUUGUAAGGCCCUUUUGUUGGGAAAGAAAUCCUGUCGGCUAAUACCCGGCGGGGAUGACGGUACCCAAAGAAUAAGCACCGGCUAACUUCGUGCCAGCAGCCGCGGUAAUACGAAGGGUGCAAGCGUUACUCGGAAUUACUGGGCGUAAAGCGUGCGUAGGCGGUUCGUUAAGUCUGUCGUGAAAGCCCUGGGCUCAAGCUGGGAAUUGCGAUGGAUACUGGCGAGCUAGAGUACGGUAGAGGACGGUGGAAUGCCCGGUGUAGCGGUGAAAUGCGUAGAGAUCGGGAGGAACACCCGUGGCGAAGGCGGCCAUCUGGACCAGUACUGACGCUGAGGCACGAAAGCGUGGGGAGCAAACA